GACGCCAAGCCGGGCUUUAACGGAGUACUUUGAUGUGGUAAAAUUCAAGAGUUUUAAUCUCUUUGGCGUUU
rnacentral:tRNA from 1 species